UACGUAGGGUGCAAGCGUUAAUCGGAAUUACUGGGCGUAAAGCGUGCGCAGGCGGUUUUGUAAGCCAGAUGUGAAAUCCCCGGGCUCAACCUGGGAAUGGCAUUUGGGACUGCAAGGCUGGAGUACGGCAGAGGAGACUGGAAUUCCUGGUGUAGCAGUGAAAUGCGUAGAUAUCGUUUGGAACGCCGAUGGUGAAAACAGGUCGCUGGGGCUGUGCUGACGCUGAGACACGAAAGCCAGGGGAGCGAACGGG
rnacentral:rRNA from 1 species